UCACAUGAAUGAGAAAAAGGUGCCUGUUGU
rnacentral:piRNA from 1 species